rnacentral:lncRNA from 1 species
UGCCUUAGGUUUCGCCCCCGAAACUCCAAGUUCGACCGUCGAACGUUGCAUGGUUUUGCAUGCAGCUUUGGCUGCCGAAGGAGAGGCGGUUGGCCACCUAUAAAAGGCCCCUUAUCCGGAUUUGAGGUGAGUUUUCUCUCUCUUUUCGGGUAUAGGUGAGUUCUUGAUCUCCUUGGGUUGAUUUGUUGUUGUUUCUUCAAAUCUUUCAAAGUUAAGCAAGUUUUAAGUAGGUUUUAUAUGGUUUUGAAGAGUUUUGGAGCUUGGAGACUUUUGGAGCUGGAUUCUCCAUAUCUUCAAGUUUGGAUCGCCAUUCCUCUCGUUCUUCAAGAGAUAAGUAUAGAUCCUUAGCUUUUACAGUGUUUUAAGUGAGUGUUAUGAAGGGAAAGGGUUAGUUUGCAUGAGUUUUGCAUGGUUGUGCAUGUGAGGGUUUAUGGACCCUUUAUGCCUUUGUAUGCUAUAUGAGUUGUUUUUGGGGUUUUGAGCUUGUUCUAAGCCCCUAUGUGCAAGAAGAAGUGUNNNNNNNNNNNNNNNNNNNNNNNNNNNNNNNNNNNNNNNNNNNNNNNNNNNNNGUCAGCAAGAGUAAAGAGUAAAGUCAGGACUAUGGCUAAGGUUAUGAGUUUGUAAUAGAAGUUUAGUGGACAUGUAUCUUAAUGUAUCUUAAUGUAUCUUGAUGUACAGUUAUGUAUAGACAUGUUUUAACAUGUAUUGUAUUCAGAGUUAUAGUUUGUGCUUGGCCCUAGAGUUUGGAUAAUCCUUUUGUACAUGGACCCUGUUUUACGUUUCUUGAUGAGAAAUGUGUUAAACCAAGCCUGAUGUAUUAUGCUGACCCAUCUAGAUGUGGUUCUAUGUUUUGAGACAUAGUCAAGCUUGGUAAAUGAAAGAAAAGUUUGAAGUAAAAGAGUUUUACAGUUUUCAGUUUUAUGUUUAGAGCAGCUGUAUGGUACCAGAGCCUAGGUCACAGUAGUAUACUGUGCUACACAGUGGAUGUGUUAUGGGAAGAAAGGGUUUCAAUCCCUUGACCCAAAGAGCUUCAGGAUUCACUGGUGUAGGCCUAGAGGCUUUUUCAGUUUGAUAUCACUCUCAGAGUGCAUACACUGCCUGCUCAAGUUACGCCUAGUAUUUAAAGCAAAGUUUUAAAGCAGUUUCAGAGCAGAAGUCCAGUCUGUUACAGAUUGGUAUUUAAAGAAAAGUUUUAAAGUUUUAGCAGAUAAUGUGGGUCAUGUAUGGGAUUAUUCCAGCUGUGCAGAGAGUUUAGCGGCUUGCUACGGGUCUCGACGGUCUUAAGCAGAUCUGGAUCCUAGUGCCGAUGGUGGUUCGGGCCGUUAUAGAGGGGUAUCGAUUUUCGAACUGUUACAGAUUGGUAUCAGAUCAUAGGGCCUCAAGAGUACGAUGUGCUGAGCGAAGACGCUCAAGGAUUAGAGGUAUCCCACAUCGGAAAGAGGUUCUUUUAGAGGGCAAGCACACUAGUAAGAUCAUGUCCACUAGGAUAGGAUGUGGAGUCCUAUCUUGUAUGAUGUUGUGGAUGAAUAUUGGUGGAUCCUCUAGCCCUCAGCAUGCAUGAGAUGACAUGUAUGAGUUGAGCAGACUAGGUGUGGCUUAGUUGCCCCUGGUACAGAGGAAGAGAGUCCAGGAGGCCGUGUUGCCCCUGGCAUAGUUGGACAUAUCUAUGUUAUGGAGAUGUAGAGGGCUAUUGGUGACCAGUUCCUCCAUGAGAUGAGAUGCUUUGCAUGUGUAUGGAGUUCAUGUGUUACCAUAUGGAUCAUAUGAUGAUAGGCCCAUAUGAUGUUAUGUUUAUGUGAUGCUGUGUUUUUGUGGUGCCAUGGUUGAUGUGGACUCAUGUGUAACCGCAUGGGCCAUGUGAUGCUAUGGUUUCUGUGUGUGUGCUCUUUUCUUAGCAGGCAGGAUGAGAGGUACUCGUUGAUCUACGGGAUUGACAGGAGUUUCUCUUGAGAGGAAAGGUACAGAUACUUUCCCCUUGUUCUGCCAAGAGCGCAGUAGUGUAGCAUCAACAGAGAGGGUUCAUCAAGGGACCCUAGGAGGUCUUUUGAUGUAGUCAGAGGUAGACUGGACCCUAGAGGAUGUCAACUGCUGUGAGAGUAGCAGCGUUAGAUGUUCAGAUAAGAAAGUUAAUAGAUAGAUGUUCAUAGAAGAGUUAGUAGCUAGAGGUUAGUGUGCCAGAGAAGAGCUUGAGAGAGUUGCUAUGAGAUGCUAUGGCCUCGGGUUUUAAAACCCCAGGCAUAGUGAGAGUUGAUCUCUCAUCUCUGAGUGCAGCCCCCUCAAGUAGAGUAAGUGAGAUAGAGCAGAGUAAGAAGAAGCAGAGUAAGUGAGCUAGAGCAGAGUAAGAGGUAGAAAAGAGUAAGUGUAAGUUCAGGUAGAGGUUUCAGUUCGGUCUGGGAUGAGGUGGUGGUUGAGGCAGGAGGAGAGGGUUAUCCUUUUCUUCAGUAGGUUCCCGAGGGAAGAUCCGUCAGGUUCAGCUUGGAUCUUCACUUUGACUCAGCAGGAGGCUAUCACAGCGGACAUGGUGACGUCAGGUACGUUCACUUGUGGGUGUUCGGAUGUGUGUGCUGUUUUUGGACCCUAGUGUUUCUCUUUCCUAGUUGCUUUGUGAGCCAUAGAGGGAGGGUUUGAUAGCUUCUGGGCUUAGAGUGUCCUCUUUGGGUGAGUAGACCCAAGUGUAAUCCAUCAGAGGCAGAGUCAGUCUGCCAGUAUAGUUCAGAGCAUGUUGAGAGAGUAGAUGCCUUCCAGCUGACCUUAUGGUUCUAGAUGUGACUGUUUGACGUCCUUCUAGUGGUGGAUUGGCUAGCUACUUGUAGUGCUACCGAGUCUGCAGAGACAAGGUAGUUAUGUUCAGAGUUCAGGAUGGAUCAGAGGUAGUCCCUGGAAGGGACAGAGUAGUGCCUAGAGGUGUGAUGUCAACCCUACAGGCUCAUAGUUAGCUCAGGAAAGAUUGUCAGAGGGUUUCUAGCUCUUGUUGGAGAGUUCUGCAGUCAGGUCAGGGAAUCAGCCUCAGUGGCUAGAGAGUUCUUAGAUGUUACCCAGACGAGCUGUCAAGUUUACCAUCUGUCAGGGAGAUAGAGUUUGGAGUAGGAGUGGUGUCUGGAUCCAGAACCAUUUCUUUCCUUCCCUACAGGAUGGCACCUGCAGAGUAGAGAGAGUUAGUAGUCAGAGUAGUAGAGAGGCUUGGUAGAUAAGGGUAUUAUCCGACCUAGUACCUCACCCUGAAGUGUUCCAAUAUGGUUGUGGGAAACGAAGGAUGGAUCCUUGAGACUUUGUAGCGACUGUAAGUGGUUGAACAAGGUCACUACCAAGGACAGGUAUUCCCAUGCAGGAUUGAUGAUCUAUUGGAACAGCUUGUAGGCGCAGGUUAUGUUCCUAGAUAGAUCAGAGGUUCGGGUACUACCUGUUGAGAGUUAGAGAAGAAGCCAGUUUAGAUAGAUGAAGAGAGAAGUGCAAGAGUCAGAGUGCGCAGCGGAAGCUGUUGCAGUUCUGGAGACGUUGAGGUAUUGCUGGAGGUGUCUCCUAGUAAGGGUGAUUCGUUUUGAGAAGGAGAGGUAAGCUAGCUCGAAGAUACAUCGGACCCUUUGAAAUCCUGCAAAGAAUUGGGGAUGUAUCCUACCAGUUAGGUUUACCUGCUUCUUAGAGGAGAUCUAUUCGGUUUUCCUUGUUUCCUUGAUUCUGGAGUUGUGUCGGAUCCGAGUGAGGUUCUUUUGAACCAGAGGUGGAGAUCUCAGGGAAUCUCACCUGUUUAGAGCUGCUAGAGCGGGAAUCAUAGACACACAGGUCAGAGUGUAGAGGAACAGGAAGUUCCGGUGGUGUUAGUCCUUGGAAUCACCUCAGUAGUAUUUAGUGUGCUUGGGAGACCGUGAGUUUUUACUCCAGUAGUACCAUGUCUCUUUUAUGUGUUAUGUGUUAUGUGUUUAUGUUAUGGCUUGAGUAUGCAUGUGUUAGAGGAAGAACAUUCGGGGACGAAUGUUUUUUUUUAAGGGGGGUAGAUUGUAAUAUCCGGCUAGAUUCAAGCAUCGGAAUUCCUACCGUCCAGUGGAAUUCGAGGAUGUCGGAGGUUUCUAGAAGGGUAAAGGAAAGGUUUUCUCAAAUGUUUUUAAGUGUUUUAUGGUUUUCAGUAGCAAGGAGUUGCGUUUUGAAGAGAAAAGACCAAGGAGGCUUUGGCCAGGUUCGGCCGCCGAAAGUGAUGUUUGGCCGCUGAAAGUGCCUUAGGUUUCGCCCCCGAAACUCCAAGUUCGGCCGCUGAACGUUGCAUGGUUUUGCAUGCAGCUUUGGCUGCCGAAGGAGAGGAUGUUGGCCACCUAUAAAAGGCCCCUUAUCCGGAUUUGAGGUGAGUUUUCUCUCUCUUUUCAGGUAUAGGUGAGUUCUUGAUCUCCUUGGGUUGAUUUGUUGUUGUUUCUUCAAAUCUUUCAAAGUUAAGCAAGUUUUAAGUAGGUUUUAUGUGGUUUUGAAGAGUUUU